AGGGCAUGGUGAGGGCACUUUCUAAACAUCUCCUUGAAUCUCUCUCAACUCUCAUAAAUAGAUUCUCAUUCUAACAUAGUAAAAAAAGUAAUAUCAUUUCUAUGCUU